UAAAUAAACAUGUCAGCAUUAAACAAAUAUAUUUAUUAAUAUUGUUGUUAGUGGUGGUGUUUAAAUAAUAAACAAACAAACAAAUAUUAAGUAAAUAAACAUGUCAACAUUAAACCGAUAUAUUUAUUGUUGUUGGUGGUGGUGUUUAAAUAAUAAACAAACAGAAAUAUUAACUAAAUGAACAUUUCAAUAAUAAACAUGAAUAUAUUUAUGGUUAUUAUUUAAAUGUUAAUUUAGUUACAAUUUGUUUGUUUGUUUAUUAUUUAAAAACCACCACCAAUAAUAAUAAUAAUUUAUAUAUUUAUUAUUGUUGUUGUUGGUGGUGUUUAAAUAAACAAACAAACAAAUAUUAAUUAAUUAAAAUAAAUUGAUUUAUUGAAAUAAAAUAAAUUUAUUUAUGGUUAUUAUUUAAAUGUUAAUUUAGUUAAAAUUUGUUUGUUUGUUUAUUAUUUAAACACCACCACCAAUAAUAAUAAACAAAUAUAUUUAUUGUUGUUGUUGUUGUUGGUGUUUAAAUAAACUAAAUAAACAUAUAUAUGAGAGUUAUCGGAGAACCUCAAGGCUGAGUUCUAAGCCCACAAAACUUUGUUGUUCUAGUUGCUAUAUAAAUUUAACAAGAAACACUAUGAACUGAAAACAAAAUACAAACGACUAAACAUUUUUCCCAAUAUGUAAUGAAACACACCCGUUCUCGCACCUGUAUUCAAAAUAAAGAAACCAAAUGAUAUAAUCCUGUUCCUAAUCCCUCUGUAUGAUAUAAUCACGUACUGUCGGAUGAUGUAACACAACGGGAUCAAUGUGCAGCCAAUCAGGUGGAGAACAGCGUUGCUCAUUGCUUUGGCAGGCGAAGGGAAACGAUCGAUACAGUAACUGUGAUGUGCGAUCUUUCCACGUCCUCGAGCACGUCAGCGGGGCGAAGAAAACACUCGAUCCGUGUCUGAAAUCUAUGAGUGGUAAUUAGGUUGAAAGCUGGUGGCAGGACGAUUUUAAUUAAACACCAGACAAAGGAAACGGAGGAAAAAUCAAUGUGUGUGUGUGUGUGUGUGCUGGGGAUUACCGAGGUCUGAUGUUAGUGUAAAUGUUGAUAUGUAUAUCAGAUAAGAAGUGAUUGAGAUGUUCCUUUCUUUCCGUUUCGUGCGAUCCGAGCAGGUGAAAAACCCGAGGAACGUGUGAGGAAUUAGUGGUGAAGUGAGAAGGCAGAUCUCACGCUUUGUCCGAAUGAGAUUUACAGCACGGUUUAUAAAUAAUUCGGCAGCACAUUAACCACGUUCAUGCUCAAAAAGAUACACAAAAAGGAGCUCUCAAAAAAAAAAAACAAAAAAAACGUCACUCUAGGGUGGAAUCCUUAAUGUCAGCUAACUACGUGUACCUUAAAAAAAAAGCGAUCGAUAAUACACAACUACACGCUUUAUUACGCACCGGAAAUUGCAGACGGGGGUUCGGUUCCUCUGUUAUGUAAAAAAAACUCAAACAAACCCGAACUCCCGAUCAUGGAUUCAGUGACUGUAAACACUUAGCCUCAUUUGUGUUGAAGUGUGUGAAAGAAUCAUAAAUGUAGAUGCAUGCAUGGUUACAUUUUUUUUUUUUUUUUUUUAAAUUCUCUAAAACGCUCACUCGUACGUUUUUGUUCGUUCGUUUUAUCAGCUACUCGGUAAUUACUCAGCACUCAGCGUUUCAAUGAAAUACGCUGAUCUCCUGAGAUUCGCACGAAUGAAAGGUGGAUAUACGUUUCCUACACCCUGUCUUAGACACUGAAUCAUGUACAGUAUAUAACAGUCACUAAACUUCACGUCUGAAGUCGCGAGUUCGUUUAGAAAAUUAGCUUAGCAUCCGCCUGCUCUAAAGAAGUCACUUACCGCACCUUUAAUGACUACGUUAUACGUUAACUACUUGAUCCAAGGUCAGUCAUUAUUAUUCAUUUCCCAGGAUGUUUUAACUCUAAAUCCAGACGUUUGUGUGUGUGUGUGUGUGUAUGUGGGUGUGUGUGUGUGUGUGUGGGAGGGUGAUAGAGAACACUUAUGGUCUAUUAGUCCCCACUUUAAUGGUACCUGCUGCACGGUGUGGAAUGUCUUUCAUUUCAGAGACGGAGAUGCAAUAGACGUCAAGCUGUGACAGGGAGAUAUGAAGAGAGCAGCGGGAGACGGAGAGAGAGAGAGAGAGAAAGAGAGAGAGACACACGAGGGAGGGUGAGUUGUCACAUGGGCUGGCAAAAAAGAUCAGUUCUUGGCAUGCAGCAAGGUGGGAACUACCCAUAAUGCAUUCUGUUCUCUCUCUACACACACAUUUAUACAUUUCUUGACAUUUCCUCACCAACAUUGCAUUUCCCUUUAAAUCUGUAAGAAUUCCAGGCAAUUAUGGCGCUAAACAAUGGGCACGGAGCCUUUGAAAAGCACAUCUGUUACCAUAGAUACAGGCAUGCGCUGGCACUGAGCCUGGGGUUCCAACCGAGCGACAGUGAGCGCUCGGCGGUUUCACUCGGAGAUUCGGCCUUCUUUCGUCCUUCCUUCUUUCUUUUCUGCCCUUUCUUUACCUGCUUGUGUAUUUUCCAGAACACUUUUUAUUUCCAUGAAGGCCACAUAUAGAAUGAACUAUGAACAACUAGUCACAAGACGUUAUGCGCUUGUCCGCUGUUAAGGAAAUGUAUCAUACGUUCAUAUAAAUAUAUAUCGUAUAAUCAUAUAAAUAUAUCAGGUAGAAGGUUAAGAAAAAUGUUCUCGGUGCCAUAAAAGGGACAGCGACAGAAUUUUAAAAAAACAAAAACACAACAACGCUCAGAUUUGAUGACGAGAGCAAUGAAAGAAAGAAAUGCCAAAAAUAGCAGUGUAAAUGCUGCAGUGACACAUCUGUGUUUGUGUGUAGUCGAGGGGUUUUAGAGAAUAAUCCAGGACUUCAACCACACCGUCACACUUUCUGACAAUUGCAGAUGCCGAGGCUCUCGAGUCGAGGCGAAAUCCUUCACUGCUAUUGAUUUUUCUCUGAAGCAGAUGAGAAAGACAAAGAAGCUCAUAGGCUACCAAACUACAGGUAAUCGAGUUUAGCAUUAGCAUUUUAACUGCACAGAAAAUAAUAAUAAUAAAUCGACUGCAUUCUGCCUACCUUUGCAUAAGCAUAUUUACUAAGAAUUGUUUCUCUGGUCUGUUUGAUAGAUGCUUGACAUUUACCCAAUAAAGAACAACACAGGACCAAGAAAUUCCAGUCGUCCAGCAUGGCCUCAAGUUCCUUAGUUCCAAUUCUAAUCUAAUAUGCUUUACUGUGUAUAUCAAGGCCUUGAGCAGCAUCUUGACAUUCUCACCAGGUACACCAGGCAGUAGAUCUUCAGCAACAGCACUGGAAAUCCCUGCUCUGUACCAGGGUUACCGAAUUUUUGCUCCAGGAGAUCUACCUUGCCCAAAGAUACUGUACAGAUCUACCCUGGUUGUUCUUGAGAAUAACUCCCGAGGUCAGUCAAGUGCUGGCCAGUCAGUUGGGUUAGUUCAGGGGUUGAAGCUAAGGUAAGCUAAAUUUUCCAGGAGAAAGACUGAUAUUCCUUGAAAUCUGGAGCCUUUUUGCCAAUUUUAAGCCUUAUCCAUGCUUUGGAAAUCAAAAUCAAAUAUCAAAGCGUUACCAGAUUUGUUUCUCCAGGAGAGCUACACUGCGCCAGAUAUAAGCUUCUGUGCUAUCUAACCCGGUUGAUCUUUUUGAUCAAAAUCUCCCAAGGUCAGUCAAGUGCUGGUCAGUCACAUAUGGUAGUUCAGGGCGUUGAAUCUAAGGUAGGAAGGCAAUAUCGAGAUUUCCAGGAGGAUGGAUGAUCAAUAAAGUGUCAAACCUUUUCGCUAAUGUCAAGACUCAUAUUUGCUCCAUAAAUAUUCAAUUUUAUCAAAAGGCUACUGUUUUUUCUCUCUCUCCAGGAGACCUACCUUUCUUCAAAGUUAACCUUACGUGCAAAUCUAACCUGGUUAAUUUUCUUGAUCGUUAACUCCCAAGGUCAUUCAAGCACUUUUACUUUUUUGUCAAGUCUUUUACUUCGGGGGUUGAAGCUAAAGUAUGAACAGUUUCCAGGAGUGAUGACCUUUGAAGUCUUUGUCACGCCUUUCACAUGCUUCAUAAACAUAUCAAAGUAAGAUGGAACUGGCUGAACCUUUAGGAAACCGAUAAAAGCACUGAUCGCAGGCUUUGUUCCUGUCCAGUCCGAACACACUUGAUAUCGCUACUCGGUGAUGUACGAGGCCAUUAAAAUGCCAGAUGAGGUGUGUGAGUUCAGGAUUGAAUCUUUUGCAGGAUGGCAGAUCUUGUCUGACCACCGCUUGAGAAGACGGUAGAGUCGAAGUUAAUUACAACCCCCCUCCACCCGCGCCCCUCACAGUGCAAUUACCCGAAGGCAUUUAUAACUGUCAACCUUUAUUUCGGAUGAAACCUAUUGUUAGUAUACCUGCUGUAAUUUGACAGAAUAGCACACAUUAGCAUGGAAUGCUGGGGUUAAGGUUAACGCAUGUACUCUCUUGGGAGAUUAGCUGCAUGGAAAGGCGGCAUAUCGGGAUACAAGGUUGGUAUCCAGGUUCGUGAAAGCUGGCGCAGUUUACACAUGGCUGAAGACGGGACCUGAAGCCAACAUUCCAGUUUCCUUUUCAAGCCCUUCUAACAAAACUUGACUCUUACUAACCCAUUCAGUCUCCUCCCUCCUACAGUCAGCCUUUUUUCUAACGUCAGAUUAAAGCUAUCGACCUCACGAGCUUUGGUUUCUCUCAGGCGAGCUUGUUACAAUCCAUUACUGACGUAUCCCGAACUUCCAAACCUUUACGGUUUUCUGCCAGUCUUCUUCCUGCUAGUCCAGGCCAUCCCUCCACAUUCUGGACACUUUUGCUAGAAAAUUAGCCUCUGUGCUCUUUACACCGAGGCAUUCAGCUCCUUCAUUUUUCCCUUUUCUUAGGCCACCUCCCUCAGCAAGGUUCUCCUGAGACAUAUCCCAGAUUAAACCACAAGGAACAUUAAUCAUUAAUCGACUGACCUGGUAAUAGUCGUCACACGUAAUUAACUGAAAGGUAAAUGAGCUUUGGAUGCAUAUUAAGCACAAAGGUGUUGUUCAUACACAGCACGUACUUUGCUAUCGUGGAAGUGGAACUGUGAACAAACCGAGGAUAAGUGUGCGGUGUGUCUGUAGUGUCACGGUUAGGAUGCAUGAUGGGAUGGGUGGCCUGAAACCAUUACCCAGUUAUCAGGGUCACAGCUUUUACCUCUGACUGUUCCAAAGCACUGACACUGGAGACUCCUUCCAAUACACGUUAAAUAAACCUCCUCACAAAAAAUAUCAACACGUUUUUGAAUUCCUUUAUUAUUAGUCGCACAUCCACCAUACUAGUCCCCGUGAAUGAGCCGUUACUAUAGAAACGAUAAGGUAUUAGAACGAGCGCAUUAAUAUAUUAAAACCUGUGAUUUGCAGCUGCAUUAGUGUCAGAGCUGCUGUCCUAGAAAAUUCAUCAAGACCAAUCAACAGAAUUCAACGUUACACACUGUUUGGGAAUGCGAUAGCUUCUGAAACGUAAAAACCCCAGCAGACAUAACGACUGAUAUUAUACCCAUUCGUCCCAUCCGCACUCGUUUCCUUCCAGCUGCUACUCCAUUUUGCUUCUAUUUCCGUUUCUCAUCAAGCCUCUCUCGGGCUCCUGCGUAAAAACGUGGCUUACGGACAACAAAAACAACAAACGCAACCGUUUCCCCGGGCACACACCUGAGGUAACAGAAUGGAAAUGUCGACCUGAACUAUCUUCAAAACUACUAUCUGGGUGAAAAGCAUUGAAAAUGGUUCAACCCGAGAUAAAAACGUAUUUGAGUCAAGCCAUGGUCGUGCUUUGCUCCGGUGUACUGGUGCGUGUGUGGAGCAACUGGCAACGUGUGCAUCUGUGCUGUUUAACAUUUACGGAAGGAGUCUCCAGCGUCAGCGAUUUGGAACGGUCUGAGGUAAAAGUGUAACAGCGGAGUUGACGGUUUACGUUUUUCCCACGUUUUUUGUUUUGUCAGUUCGAACUUGUUAACGUUAAGAGAGACUUUUGUCUGUAGCUGCUAUAACGUAAGUGACAACAGGAACGAGCUCGCUUCGUGGACGUUCCAUAACGUUAACCGUCGCCGUGAACUGACCAAAAAAAAAAAAAAAGUGUGAUGUUUCUGUGAACCGUGUGUAUGGUGCAGUAGCAAGCCGCUGGAGAAGAGGACUCCGGCGUGUGCGCGCGUGUGUGUGUGUGUGGAACACGACCUUUUCCAAACCUCGUCUGCGAAAGGUUGCUCUGCAGCAGAUCUUUUGUUCACGCCGCACGAAGACUAUUUUCGGGUUUGUAAUUGGGCCCGGAGAAACCCAGCGAUGCUCCCGGUGACAGACCGCCGUCCACAUCGAACACGUGAACAUGAAAAACGGAGAGAGAGAGAGAGAGAGAGAGAGAGAGAGAGAGAGACGCCACCGUUCUGUCAGAUUUACGUUUGAACCCCAUGACUGUGCCGCACGUUGUCGAUUCGCGCAGAUACAGUACGGCUCGGUUUGUCCUGAUGAGUUAGUGUCUAUGAUGAUCCAUAACGUGUUCGUUUAAUCGAUUAGCUCAUGAAUCUGCAGGAGUGUUUCAUAACCGAUCUUACAGGAAGGAAGUGAUUUAUUUCUUUUGGAGACAUCUGGAAUAAUGGAACCAGGCUGAAAUUGAAAACAUGUUUUCUGCAGUUAAUGUGAGUGACAUCAGCGCCGGUUUCGGCCGGUUUCGGUUUCGGCCGAGCCGGACCCCGUUUCCAUCAUCCACAGUCACACACACAGAGAUGACUGACUUACACGUCCUAACUGCGGAGUAUUGCUCCAAAUACACUUAUGGUUAUACUAAGGCUUUGUUUGUCAUGAUUUUGGCUCACUUUGUGCCUUGUUAUAAACUUGGAACGAUAACGCUGUGCCUAGUUUCACACUGUUUGUUGAACGCCUGUUUCCUGUGGGUUCAGUUGAGUGUGGGUUUAGUUUCAUGUGGCUUUUGUUUGUUUCGUG
ensembl:lncRNA